rnacentral:lncRNA from 1 species
CUCGCUGCUGAUCUGAAAUCUUUGAAGGGAGACAAGUCGUUGCAAACCCCAGUUCUCCACUGAAGGCCUCAGUUACUCACAAUCUCUGUUAUGAAAUGUUUGUAGGUUGGGAGGCAAACCCCUUUCACCAAAUGACACAAAUUUGGAAGAUCCCAGGUCCUCAAUUUUUUAAGGGUGGUGCAGGCGUGCAUAUGUUUGGGCAAUAUCUUCAUAUUAUCGAUCCCCAGACUCCAAUAUGAAAUUUUUGCUAUCACGUCCCUUUUACAUUGGCCAAUCUUUCAUUGUGCUCCCCAAUCCAUCCCCUCGGUGUCCUGGAGGAAAGACCGAAAAGAUCUUGUAACUUGAAAUGCAGAAAACAGGACAAUUACAAAAUAUAAUUUUGCAUAAUAUGUAUCUUACUUACUUUGUGUUAAGAGCCCUCAUCGCAGAGGAAAAUUUAAAAGCUUAAGGCAUCAUAUCCAUCCCCGCCUCCACUAAAACACUCUGCGGGCAGCUCCUUCAACCUUAGCGACCCUGGAUGCAGAGAUUAGGUUCUCCAAAUCAACCAUGAUCGGUUGGUGCUUGCUUGCUCAAGAGACCUUAGAGAAAAUAAAGUUGGCGUAAACCACAUGAACUAUUUUUCACCAUCAAAGCUUACUAAAGUACUUUAUGCAUAACUAUAAUAUACGAGGUAGAGUGCUUACUAAAGUACUUUAUAGCUAUGAAAUCGAACAAUGGAGUACUGUUCACUUCGUCCACAUCUUCACGCGAUAGUUCUCGAAGAACAGAGUCAGCUUGGGACGUUUCAAUUUUAAAAAACUAGAGUAAAAAGAAGAAGAAAAAAAUGAGAUAGUACCUAAGAAAAGGUGCACAAAAAUCAAUUAAAACAAGUUUAGAGCAACAUUUGAAUCAAAUAUAUGAUACAACUAAAGUAAGAAUUACCUCUCUAAAAGUUUCACAGAAUUUCAAAAUAUUUCCCACAUCCUCGGCAGCUAAUGGUGCCCUGAUGUAGGGGAAGCUCAAGAUCAACCCUUUCCGGUCUCAACGCGGUGUUCCUUGACCCUGUGACACCCUCUUGCAGCCUUGCCCUUGGCAUCAUUCUCAUUCACAGCAGCAGCACCAUCUCUGCCGAAUUACAAGUUUCCAUCAACUAGUCCUGCCUUCCUGGAUCGAACUAAUUCACAGAUUCACUCUGAUCAAGGGUGGUCUCCUUCCCUUGUUUGCUAGGUGAAUCAACACAGAUUGCCCGCCAACACUCGAGACCAUAAGCCCUCUUAAACAGAACUAAAACCAACCAACAAUAUCAAUAUGCAUUCAAAAAGAAAUCACUAUAAUCAACACCACCAUCUCUGCCAAAUUCAACCACUUAAGUCUCAAUAUUCCUGGCCCACUCCUUGACUUUAUGAUGAUUUCUCACUACCUUGCCAUUGACAUCCUGAUUAUUGCUCAUAGCAUUGACCUUAUUGCUCAUAGCAGCAGAACCAUCUCUGCUGCCAUAAACAAAUUUCCAUCAGCUCUUCCUGCUCAAGUAACAUGAUGUACUGACUUCCAACAAGCUCAAGCAUGAGGGGCAGUGCUCCAAAAAGCCCAAAGAAACCUGGCUCUCAUUUGUCAUUUUUGUCAUCGUUGUCUCAUCGCUGUGUAAUGUGCAAAAACAUAUAUGCUGCACCCAUUCGAACAUGGCAGCAGCAGCAGCAGAAUAUGAAAAAGAAGGCAUGCUGCUUUUAUUGAAAAAAAGAAGAGUAUAUGAGUAAAACAUCAUUAGAAGGUACCUAUCCAAUUGAAGGAGAAAAUCAUAUUCAUGCCACACUGCAGGAGAACCAUUCAUGGACAACUAAUUGAUGGAUGUUAAAUCGUCGGCCUUUGAUAAUUCAAUAUUUAACAGUUCAACAGUUUGCUAUCUACAUCAGAGAAGCCGACAAACACGUUAGUGACAUAAUCUUGCCCUGAAAGCAUAGUUGAAUUUCACUGUUUAAGAUUUGACUAAUAUAUAAGCCUAAAUGAUUAAAGAUUAAAAAAUUCUACAGAUAGAUGUAACAUAUUUACAAAAAAGCCUUAGGAAUCAUGCCUUCACAUUUGUCCUUACUUUCCCCACUUUAUCAUCGCAAUCAAUCUCUGAAAGUGGGAACAAAAUUUAGACAUGAUUUUGACAUGGAAAGAUAGCAAUGUGAAAGUUUUAGUGGAGCAGAGUAGUAAUCACUUGAGGUGUACCAAGAUGCAAAUGGAUGGAAAAAAAAUAAUAAAAUAUUAGGAAAAAUUUAGGAAACCAGACCUGAAUUUUGGUAUUCUUAUUCACGUGUUCUUGUACUAAACAUAUAUUUCAUCAAUUUAAUUUGAAAAAAUUUGCUGUUUCUUCAUCGAUACAGAAUGCAGAUUCCAAUUCGUGCGCAUUCUUCAAUUGGUUUCAUUCCAUUGUCUCAUGAAAAGCAUUCCUUUUUCAAUACCUUGAAGAAGAAAUUUAAUACUUAAAUUGAAGUGAAGAUACUAAAUUAAUGAGUGAUCAAAGAAAACAAGCAUAUGUCUCAGUGGAACCUAAUUAGCACAGCUUCUUCAAAUUAAAUUCCAGUUUGUUACGCGUUCAAGUUUGACAAUCUGGAUCUUUUCCUUAUCUUAAGAUGAAUGUGCAUUCUAUCACACUCAAAUCAUAUCAGCAUGAGAAAGGGAAAAAAAACAUCAUCCAGGGUUACCUCAUCGCCCAUGCAGGAGAAUCAUAUUCCUUUACACCACACUCCGAUAUUUAGAAGUUUCGUGAUUACGAGAUCAUUCUCCCACGAUAUUUCCUAAUGUGUACUCAUUUGUACUGUCUCACUAAGGAGAGCUUGAACCUAUGUACUUGUGUAAACCCUUCACAAUUAAUGAGAACUCUUCUAUUCUGUGGACGUAGCCAAUCUGGGUGAACCACGUACAUCUUGUGUUUGCUUUCCUAUCUCUAUCCAUUUAUAUACUUAUCCACACUAAUGACCGGAGCAAUCUAGCGAAGAUCACAAAAAAGCGGACCGUUUUCGCUACCUAGGAUCUAUCUUGCAAGAGAACGGAGAAUUAGAUGGAGAUCUCAACCAUAGAAUACGAGCUGGAUGGAUGAAGUGUAAGAGUGCAUCCGGCGUGUUGUGUGACCGUCGUAGGCCACUGAAGCUCAAGGGAAAAUUUUAUAGGACGGCAAUAAGGCCAGCGAUGUUGUAUGGCACAGAAUGUUGGGCGGUGAAGCAUCAACACGUACACAAAAUGGGUGUAGCGGAGAUGAGGAUGCUUCGUGGGAUGUGUGGGCACACGAGAAAGGAUAAGAUUGGGAAUAAGGAUAUCUGAGGUAAAGUAGAAGUAGCCGAAAUUGUAGGAAAGAUGAGAGAAAAUCAGCUCCGGUGAUUUGGACAUGUGCAAAGAAGGCCGACUGACGCUCCGGUUCGAAGAUGUGACUACGGGACAGAGGUUCAGGGCCGAAGGGGUAGAGGAAGACCUAGGAAAACUUUGGAAGAGACUCUAAGAAAAGACUUAGAGUACUUGGAUCUAACGGAGGACAUGACACAAAACCGAGCGCAAUGGCGUUCUAGGAUUCAUAUAGCCGACCCCACUUAGUGGGAAAAGGCUUUGUUGUUGUUGUUGUUGUUGUUGUUGUUGAUCUUUUUCAAUUCAUUCGAUACGACGGCCGAAAAUGGAAGAGUGUGAGAAAUAAAAUGGGGUGUGUGGAUAUCACACCCCAAAAAAUAAUAUACGAAUUAUAUGUGGGAGGUUCACCGCUAAAUAUCACUGAGCUCUUUUGCGAUAAAAUUUACACCUAGUAAUAGAUGGUAGGCAACACCUAGUAAUGAUGAACUCCACACCUCGUAAUGAUAGGCCUAAAAAGUGUCAUGGUAUUACUGUCAGAGCAUGUUAUUCUUCUGACACGAAAAGUCGUGUAUGCUCCGGCAUAAUAAAUGAGUUAUUGGUUUUGUUAUCCCAUCCCUAGGAAAUAAAUGGAAGUGUUACAUACUAUGCUAUGCAAGUCUUAAAUCAUUAAGGAAGGUAACUAACCAUCAACUUCUAUAUCAUGAGGUCAACAACAUAUGAUUCAAAACCAGUCUCCCUAGCAUUUUUCAUAAAUUUUUAGUUUUACAUGCUAGUGGAAUACGUGUAACAUGAGUAAAAGUGAAAAGAUUAAAAUGAGAAGGUAAGUGAGAAGUUGCAAGCACUCCCCUUCGUAUUUAAUCAAAGCUCAAUAAUAAUGUCAUAUCCUAACACAGGUCAACUGAAACAAUUAUUCUAUGAAGAAACUCCAAGCAAGUGAUGAGUGCAAAGCCCAGUGUCCUCCUAGUGCACCAAAUAACGGGCUUCGUAUUAUUAGUCAUAUCCGGUGCUGAUUCAUGGGCAGCAACAUACAUCUGAGUAGGGGAUUGCGACAAAGCGACCCAAUUUCUCGCUUCAUGUUUUUACCUUGUGCAGUAUCCAUGACCAGGAUGAUGUAUCCUUCCCGGGGGAAAUCUGUAGCCCCAACAGCAAGCUACGCAGCCUAGUUUAGUAAACGUAAUGUACGAGUAUUCAAGCAAGCACAGGCAUGAGGCAGCACGCAACGAACCCACACUCUUCAACGUAUCCGCGCUGUGUCUACCUGAAGAUUAAAGUGAAAGCGAAGGAUGAGAAAAUCAUGCUGCCGUAUUCAAAUCACACCAGUAUGUGAAAACCAUCGUCCUCGGGUUGGGUGGGGUUACCUUUUUUGAUGCAGGAGAAUCAUAUUCAUGCCGGAUAGGCAGAGCCACAGAGUGCACACAAGUAAGUCACUCCCAUCACAAACUGUCCAGGCCGUCCACUUCCUCCACGCGAUAGUCCUCGAAUAACAGAUUCAGCUUGGGACUUACCAAUUUUAGUAAACUAGAGUAAAAUUUCAAGUGAAUUGGAAGUUCAAUGUUUUAGCACCCAAAAAAAGGGUGUACAAAAUCAAUUAAAACAAGUUUAGAGCAACAUUUUUAAUCAAAUAUAUAAUAGAACAAAAGUAAGAAUUACCUCUCUAAAUGUUUCACUGAAUAAAAAUUGGAGAGCAUUUCCUACAUCCUCAGCAGCUAAUGGUGCCCUGAGGUAGGGGAAGCUCAAGAUCAACCUCUGCUCUCCAUGCGGCAUUCCUUGACCUUGCGACACCCUCUUGCAGUCUUGCCCUUGCUCCUUCACUUGGCAUCAUUCCUUGAUCCUGCGACACCAUCUCUGCUGCAUUACAAGUUUCCAUCAACUUGUGCUGCUUUGCUGUGUCCCGAGUACUUCACAUCUUCGCUCUGAUCAAGGGCGUUCUCCUUCCCUCGUUUGCUAGGUGAAGCAACACACAUUGCCUGCCAAAACUCGAGACCAUAAGCCUUCUUAAACAGAACUAAAACCAACCAACAACAACAUCAAUAUGCAUUCACAAAGAAAAAAAACUAGAAUCAACAGCACCACCAUCUCUGCUGCCAAAAUCAACCUCUUGAGUCUCAAUAUUCCCGGGCCAUUCCUUGACUUUUACGAUGCUUUCUGACAGCCUUGGCAUUGACAUCCUUAUUGCUCACAGCAGCAGCACCAUCUCUGCCGCCAUUACAAAUUUCCAUCAACUCUUCCUGCUUUGUUUUCAUAGUUUCCUGCUCAUCAGACGCAUCCAAGUUCAUAUCUUUGCUCCCACCAAGAGACUUCUCCUUCCCUCGCUUUCUUGGUGAACCCACUUGAACGUCACUAAAACCUUGCAUGAAUCCAUACGUUUUUUGCGGCAAACCAUCCUUGCGUUCGACAUCCAUCUCCCCUUGUUUCUUCGGCUUGAACAACUCGAAGGGAUUGCUCAUAUUUUAUUAGAUUCCAAUUGUAGUCGCAUGUCACCUCACAUAUAGAAAACAUACCUUUUUGUCCUGAUACAACUCCAGGGAUAGCUCAUAACAUCCUCAAUGGUAGAGCAAAAUGCUGUAAUCCAUCAGUUCCUUUGGAUCGUUUCAUAGGCUGUGACAAUAGGAACAAUGUCCGAUUAACACCGUUUUCUUUAAGGAGAGUAUGUGGACAUUCCAACAAAAACUCAUGGAGGGUAUGUGCACAGUUAAUGCAGUGAAAGAAGACACAGCUUUACCUUCAGAUCGAUGCAUUCUCCCACUUCAUUUCCACAUCAAGUUGUGAAAAUCCUGUUUCUUCUCAUAUCUGUUUCUAUAGGAUGCCAACACAAGUGCUUUUCUUUUUCAUACCCCAGCUCAACAUGUAUGAAUACUGCUAAAUUCAAAUAUGUUGAAAUUAUAAACGAUCGAAUUGAUCUUGGAAAACAAGCAAAUGGUUCUUAAAAUCAAACCUAACUGGUGCAGUUUCUUAAAUAAUUCCAACUAAUAAACAGAUUGAAUUAGCAUCAACUUAUACAUGAGCUAUUCAUUAUGUUACGUCACAGUCAACAAGUGGACUUUUUCUUUAUAUUGAUGAAUAUAAUCAGCGUGUCCCUGACUACACCGUCUCUCUUUAUCUCAAUUAGAAAGGAAAAAAAAGUUGUUAUUUAUGAACUUUUCAGAAACAAUUCUGGAGAAACAAAAGUGAAAUGGAACUCAAACUUUUUUAUCUGCAGUGUUCAACAUAAGAAAUAUCAUUCCUGUGAAAUGUAUAGCGCAACAACCACCCACCUGCUCUAGUAACAUAAUGGACAGAAUUCCAAGGAGGGCAAGCAUGAGGGUGGUGCUCCACAGAAACCUGGCUCUCAUAUUGUUUUGUGGGCAUCGUCACCCGUUCUCACUUCAACAGAGCUGUGUAUGCGCAAAAACAUAUCUGCACCCACCCGAAGAUGGCAGCAACAUGAAGAGAAGAUGAAAAGGAAUGCUGAUUGUAUUGAAAAUAAAGCAAUAUAUGAGUAAAAUCAUUCGUGGGGUUACCUAUCCAAUUGAAGGAGAAUCAUAUUCAUGCCACACUGCAGGACAACCAUUCGUGGACAGCUAAUUGAUGGACGUUAAAAUCAUUGGCCUUAGAUAAUCCUAUCUUUACAGUUCCACAGUUUGCUAUCUGCAUCAGCAAAGCCGACGAACACGAUAGUGACAUAAUUUUGCCCUGAAAGCAUAGUUGAAUUUCACUGUUAACAUUUGACUAGUGUACAAGCCUAAAUGAUUAAAGACAAAUUCUACAGAUAAGGUGCAACAUAUUUACAGAGGCAUUAGGAAUAAUGCCUUCACAUUCUUCCCCACUUUUCCCAUUUAUCAUCCCAAUCAAACUCUGAAAGUGGGAACAAAAUUUUGGAACCAGUUUUCCUGAAUUGCUUAUUCCUAAAAUAUUGAGCAAACAACUCCUGUAGAGAGAUUCAAAUUUAACUUGUGAUGAAAGAAAAAUAUAUCAAAGUCCAAGCAUAAGAGGCAAAGAAAAGAUUGCGUGGAGUUUUUCCUUCAUGUGGUUUAGCCCACUUCCGUUCAUCAUCAAAUUGAAAAAAUGUUUGUUUCUUCUCAUUGAUAUUGAAUGCAAAUGUCAACUUGAGCGCAUUCCUUUUUCAUACCUUGUCUCAGAAAGAUGCCUUAAAUUCAAAGUUGAAGAUACUAUAAAUUAAUGAGUGAUCUAAGAAAACAAGCAUAUGUCUUAGUGGAACCUAAUAAGCACUUCAAAUUAAUUCCAGUUGUUAAGCAUUCAAGUUUGACAAUCUGAAUCUUUUCCUUAUGCAUUCUACCACACUCAAAUCACAUCAGUAUUAGAAAGGGAAAAAAAACAUCAUGCAGGGUUACCUCAUCGCCCAUGCAGGAAUAUCACAUUCAUGAUGACAGAUAACCAUAGCACGAUUCGACGACUAGUAAUUCAUUUAAGCAAACACGUGUUGCUUUUGGAUGAUUGUCCUGAAAUAUAAAGAAGCAUAUUUUUUAAAGGGUAGUAUAGUUGAAUUAAACAAUUAGAAACUCACAGUAUAGAUGACAGUAACCAAUUGAAGAGACACUUUCACAGAAUCUGAAUCUUGGCUAUGGAAUGAAAUCUGUUGCUACAACAGCAAGCCACCUAGUCUAGUAAACGUAAUGUACAGGUAUUCAAGCCAGCUCUAUACAUUACUAGCAAGCACAGCCAUGAGGCAACACGCAACGAACCCACACACUCUUCAACACAUCCGUGCUGUGUCCACCUGAAGAUUAAAGUUUAAUUGAAAGAUGAGAAAAUCAUGCCGCCAUGUUCAAACCACACCAGCAUGUGAAAACCAUCAUACUCAGUUGGGGUUACCUUUUCCGAUGCAGGAGAAUCAUGUUCAUGCCGGAUGGGCAGAGGCAGAGCCACUGAGUGGCAUUCAAGGACUACAACUUGUCGUAAUUUUGGUUUCCUCAGAUAAUCAUGUCUUUCCAUUUCCACAGAACGCACAUAAAUAAGUCACUCCCAUCACAUUCUCCUGAAAAUUUCAAGAAACAUUUUUUUUAAAGGACAAAGAAACAGAACAAGAAAGCGAUGCAGUAUGCUGGGCCUAAACAAUGCAAUAGAAAUUUCUGCAGAUACAUGUGACAAAUUUUACUCCUCUGCCCUGUUCCUUUUAUUUUAGUAAUUGAACUCUGAAACUUUGAAAAGAAUUCAGCGGGAUCAUCCACUCUCUCUUUAAAUCUUAGAUAGGGGAUGAAACAGGAUACUACUCUGCUUUACAUCAUUGAAGUUAUGAACCAGCACCAUUUAUGUAUAUAUAUAUUGUGCAACAAAAAACAUGGCGAAACAACUAAAAAUGGUUAACCUUAAAAAUGAAAGAAAAAUCUCUAUGUAGAUUUUAUGUAGAAAAGUUGAGACAAUCAAUAUAACAAAUAAAAAUAAAGUACCAGACAUUUGAGAGUUGAGAGUGAAAUGAGAAGCAAAAGUUUUGGUGUGAGAGAGAGAGAGAGAGAGAGAAUAUCAUGAUGACUUUGUCAUCUAUCUUUAUGCAAGGAAUAUGAACUAGCUUUCUCCAUUCUUUUCCCUUCUUGUUCUCAUACCUCAUCUUCAGAGAGGGGCAUGUGGUCAUGUUCAGGAAAGAAACAGAUGCCGGAAAACCCUGUUUUGGCAGGAAGUCGAGACUGUCACACCUUCCAAUAUAUAGCUUUUGAAGAGAAGUGAGGUGUUGGAAGUCCAUUUCUGUCCAAAGAUUUCAGACUUGAUAGAUAAGAGAUUGCAAGAGUGUGAAGAGGGGUAAGAAGCAGCUGUUCCUUGAGCAACGUCUCCAACACAUCCUCGCUGCUGAUCUGAAAUCUUCGAAGGGAGAAGUCGUUGCAAACCCCAGUUCUCCACUGAAGGCCUCAGUUUCUCGCAAUCUCUGUUAUGAAAUGUUUGUAGGUUGGGAGGCAAACCCCUUUCACCAAAUGACACAAGAUUUGGAAGAUCCCAGGUGCUCAAUUAUAGAAGGGUGGUGCGGGUGUGCAUAUGUUUGGGCAAUACUUCAUAUUAGAUAUGAAAUUUUUGCUAUCGCGUCGCUUUUACGUUGACCAAUCUUUCAUUUUGCUCACCAAUCCAUCCCCUCGGUGUCCUGGAGGAAAGACCAAAAAGAUCUUGUAACUUGAAAUGCAGAAACAGGACAAUUACAAAAUUAUAAUUUGCAUAAUAUGUAUCUUCUACUUACUUUGUGUUAAGAGCCUCAUCACAGAGGAAAUUUAAAAGCUUAAGGCAUCAUAUCCAUCCCCGCCUCCACUAAAACACUCUGCAGGCAGCUCCUUCAACCUUAGCAACCCUGGACGCAGAGAUCAGGUUCUCCAAAUCUUGGAACCAUGAGCAGUUGGUGCUUGCUUGCUCUAGAGACCUAAGAGAAAAUAAAGUUGGCGUAAACCACAUGAACUAUUUUCACCAUCAAAGCUUACUAAAGUACUUUAUGCAUAACUAUAAUAUACUAGGUAGAGUGCUUACUAAAGUACUUUAUAGCUAUGAAAUCAAACAAUAGAGUACUGUUCACUUCGUCCACUUCCUCCACACGAUAGUUCUCGAAGAACAGAUUCAGCUUGGGACUUUUCAAUUUAAAAAAAAAAUAGAGUAAAAAGAAGAAGGAAAAAGAAAAAAAAAAAAAAAAAAAAGAGAUGGCACCUAAGAAAAGGUGCACAAAAUCAAUUAAAACAAGUUUAGAGCAACAUUUUAAUCAAAUAUAUAAUACAACAAAAGUAAGAAUUACCUCUCUAAGGGUUUCACAGAAUUUCAAAAUAUUUCCCACAUCCUCGGCAGCUAAUGGUGGGAAGCUCAGGAUCAACCUCUCUGGUCUCAACGCGGUGUUCCUUGACCCUGCGACACCCUCUUGCAGCCUUGCCCUUGGCAUCAUUCUCAUUCACAACAGCACCACCAUGUCUGCUGCAUUACAAAUUUCCAUCAACUCGUCCUGCUUUCCUGGAUCGAAGUAAUUCACAGAUUCGCUCUGACCAAGGGUGGUCUCCUUCCCUUGUUUGCUAGGUGAAUCAACACAGAUUGCCACCGCCAACACUCGAGACCAUAAGCCCUCUUAAACAGAACUAAAACCAACCAACAACAAUAUCAAUAUGCAUUGACAAAGAAAUAACUAUAAUCAACAGCACCCCCGUCUCUGCCAAAUUCAACCACUUAAGUCUCAAUAUUCCUGGCCCACUCCUUGACUUUACGAUGCUUUCUCACUGCCUUGCCAUUGACAUCCUUAUUGCUCAUAGCAGCAGCACCAUCUCUGCUGCCAUAACAAUUGAAGGAGAACCAUAUUCAUGCCACAGUGCAGGAGAACCAUUCAUGGACAACUAAUUGAUCGACGUUAAAAACGUUGGCCUUUGAUAAUCCAAUCUUUACAGUUCAUCAGUUUGCUAUCUGCAUCAGAAAAGCCGACAAACACAUUAGUGACAUAAUUUUACCCUGAAGGCAUAGUUGAAUUUCACUGUUAAGAUUUGACUAAUAUAUAAACCUACAUGAUUAAAGAAAAAUUCUACAGAUAGAUGUAACAUAUUUACAAAAGCCUUAGGAAUAGUGCCUUCACAUUUGUCCCUACUUUUCCCAUUUUAUCACCGCAAUCAAACUCUGAAAGUGGGAACAAAAUUUAGACAUGAUUUGACAAGGAAAGAUAGCAAUGUGAAAGUUUUAGUGGGAGCAGAGUAGUAAUAACUUGAGGUGUACCAAGAUGCAAAAUAAUAAGAAAAUUUAGGAACCAGUUUUCCUGAAUUUCUUAUUCCUAAAAUAUUGAGUAAACAACUCUAGUAGAGAAAUGCAAAUUUUACUUGUGAUGGAAAAAAAAUAUACAUAUAUAUCAAAGUCCUUCACAAAAAUUGUUUGUUUCUUCUCAUCGAUAAUGAAUGCAGAUGUCAACUCAAGCGCAUUCCUUUUUCAUACCUUGUCUCAGAAAGAUACCUUAAAUUCAAAGUUGAAGAUACUAUAAAUUAAUGAGUGAUCAAAGAAAACAAGCAUAUGUCUCAGUGGAACCUAAUUAGCACAGCUUCUUCAAAUUAAAUUCCAGUUUGUUACGCAUUCAAGUUUGACAAUCUGGAUCUUUUCCUUAUCUUAAGAUGAAUGUGCAUUAUACCACACUCAAAUCAUAUCAGUAUGAGAAAGGGAAAAAAAACAUCAUCCAGGGUUACCUCCUCGCCCAUGCAGGAGAAUCAUAUUCUUUACAGAUAGCCAUGGCACGAUUCAACAACUGGUAAUUUAUGUAAGCAAACACACGUUGCCCUUGGAUGAUAUUGUCCUGAAAUUUAAAGGACCACGGUUUUGUUAGAGUAGCGUAGUUGAAUUAAACAUUUAAAAACUGACUGAUUCAUUGAUUAAUUAAACAGAGUAUACGUAUAGAUGACUGUAAACGAUUGAAGAGAAACUUCUACAGAAUCUGAAUCUUGGCUAUGGAACGAAAAUGGUGGUAUGUACGUACCUGACUAUGACUUGAGCCUCAAAUGAUGACUUGAUCAUCUAUCUUGAUGCAAGGAAUGUGAGCUAUCUUGCUCCACUCUUGUCCCGUCUUCUUCUGACACCUCUUCUCCAGGGAAGAACACUUUAGGAUGCUCAGAAAAGAGAGCGAUGCUGGCAAACCCUCUUUUGGCAGGAAUUCGAGACUAUCACAGUACCAAAUUUCGAGCUCUUGAAGAGAAGUGAGGUAUUGAAGUCCCUUUCCCUCCAAAGAUUUCAGACUUUCCAUUCCAGAGAUUACGAGAGUGUGAAGAGUGGUAGGGAGCAGCUGUUCCUUGA